UAGUUCUAUUCCAUCCAUCUC
rnacentral:piRNA from 1 species